rnacentral:rRNA from 1 species
AAGAAACUAACAAGGAUUCCCCUAGUAACUGCGAGUGAACCGGGAAAAGCUCAAAUUUUGAAUCUGACGGUCUUUAUGGCCGUCCGAGUUGUAAUCUAGAGAAGUGUCUUCCGCGCUGGACCGUGUAUAAGUUUCCUGGAAAGGAACGUCGUAGAGGGUGAAAAUCCCGUCUUUGGCACGGACUCCCAGGGCUAUGUGAUGCACUCUCGACGAGUCGAGUUGUUUGGGAAUGCAGCUCAAAUAGGGUGGUAAAUUCCAUCUAAAGCUAAAUACAGGCGAGAGACCGAUAGCGAACAAGUACCGUGAGGGAAAGAUGAAAAGAACUUUGGAAAGAGAGUUAAACAGUACGUGAAAUUGCUGAAAGGGAAACGCUUGAUGUCAGUCGCGUUGGCCAGGGAUCAGCUUUGCUUCAUCGCGAGGCGUACUUCCUGGUCGACGGGUCAGCAUCAGUUUUGACUGUCGGAAAAGGGCCUGAGGAAUGUGGCACUCUUUCGGGGGUGUGUUAUAGCCUUGGGUCUUGAAUACGAUGGUUGGGACUGAGGAACUCAGUACGGAGCCAAUUUAUUUUGGUUUUUCGGGGCUUAGGCUCACGUUCGCGUGCUUAGGAUGCUGGCAUAAUGUCAUUAAGCGACCCGUCUUGAAACACGGACC